GCCUAUGGUCAUACCACCCUGAAUGCACCUGAUCUCGUCUGAUCUCAGAAGCUAAGCAGGUUCAGGCCUAGUUAGUACUUGAAUGGGAGAAAAAAUUAAGUUACAAGUA
rnacentral:rRNA from 1 species